rnacentral:misc_RNA from 1 species
CACGUAGGGGGCAAGCGUUGUCCGGAUUUAUUGGGCGUAAAGAGCUCGUAGGUGGUUCAGUAAGUCGGGUGUGAAACCUCCAGGCUCAACCUGGAGACGCCACCCGAUACUGCUGUGACUAGAGUCCAGUAGGGGAGCAUGGAAUUCCUGGUGUAGCGGUGAAAUGCGCAGAUAUCAGGAGGAACACCAGUGGCGAAGGCGGUGCUCUGGGCUGGAACUGACACUGAGGCGCGAAAGCGUGGGGAGCAAACAGG